GCGGGGGGCUGCGCUCUCCAGGGCCUUUGGGGCUUCGCGAGGGCUGGCCGCGUCCUUGGGUGCGUCUCCUUGCAGAUGGGCGUUCCCGGCCUAGACGCCCCCCCACCCCCCGUGGGCGGCAGAUGGCAGCCUGGCGAGAUGAGGGAGGCCAUGUUCGCGCGGCUCUGCUUUGCUGGGAGCUGUUCCUCCCACCCCGUGACGGUCGGGUCUGCUCCUCCGCCACCCCCGCCCCGGCCCCGCCACGGCCCGCGGUGCGCUUCGACCCCCCCCCAAGCAGGUCAUGUUCACAGAGUCACUUAGGAGGCAGAAGCCCCUGCGUGAAGUGGGUUGCUUUGGAGAGACCUGCCUUGGGAAGGGGGACCAUUGUGUUGCAGAAGCUUCCGGAAGCCACCCACCUGUAAUUAAGAGCCUGCCCUCUGCAGUCCGCCUGCCUGGGCUAAUAGCCCGACCCCUCUUGCUCUGUGACCUUUGGAAAGAUUUCUCUGCAGCAUGUGAUGGUGUGUGAUAACACGAUAGAACUUUCAAAAGGGGAAUCCAGCCUCUCCAACCCUGCCACUUCUUUAUCAGCUGAGUUGGCAUCAUCUUCUAAAUCCUUUACUGUCGUUUCAGCAAUUUUCACAGUCUCUUCACCAUCAGUGGAUUCCAUCUCAAGGCACCACUUUCUUUGCACCCACAAGGAUCAGCUCCUCAUCUUUUAAAAGUUGUGUCAUGACGUGGCGGCCAGGCAGUCACAUCCUCGGGCUUCGAAUUCUAGUUCUCUCCCUAUUUUCACCACAUCUGCAGUGAUUUCCAGAACAGUCAAAACAGUAACAUCAAGGUCACUGAUCACAGAUAUGAUAAUCAUGAAGAAGUUGGAAAGAUUUCAAGAAUUAGCAAAAUGUGACACAGACACAUGAAGUGACCACGUGUUGCUGGACAAAUAGCGCCAUUAUACUUGUUUGACCAGGGUGGCCACGAAGCUUCCAUUUGUAAAAAAUGCAAAUCCUGUGAAUCUCUGUAAAGUGAAUCACCAUAAAACAAGGUGUGCCCAUACCACAAACAGGCAGGCUUCAAACAAUAGAAAUGUACCAUUUCCACAGCGGUGGAGGUUAAUGUUGGAAAUUAAGGUGUGGGCGAGGCCAUGUUCUCUGGGAGCACAGUUUGUGGAAUCAGACUGAAUGGGUUUCAAAGCCUGGUGCUACCUGCUGGUCUGCUAUGUGAAUUUAGGCGAGUCACUGAUCUCUAAGUCUGCUUCCUAAUCUGUGCCUCCUAGGGCGGUUGGGUGGAAUCAAUGAGAUCAGGUCCUGAAGUGCCCUUGAUAUUUUAAAAAAUAGCUGCCAACGCUAAGUUGUCCAUUCCUGUGGCCCCUGUCAAGCUUCCAGGGAAGAACACAGGCAGGUAAAUAGCAAGAUAGCAUAGUUUAAAAUUAAAGAUCCAGAGACCUGGUACAGAAUGUACCUGUCACACUAGGUCAGGGGCACUGGGCUGCUGCAGGCACAGAGUUUAACUUUUAAUAACAAACAGAUGCAAAGUUAGUGCUGGAAUCUGAACCUCUGCAGCUAAGCCAUAUCGAUUUCCCACCUCUCCCUCCACCAGGGUGUAUUUCCAGAGUUUAUCCUCAAGGUCUCCGUAGCAUAACCAGACCAGAUAUCUCCUGUCACCUUAUUUGCUCUAAGACCUGCUGUCGAUGCACUUGACCUUCAGGUAUUAAAGAGGCCAGAACUUCCAUUCAGUGGUCCAGACCUCCCCUUGACUACACUGUCCAUAGUGGACGGUGCCCUCAGGAGGAGAUGGCUGGAGCAGGUGCACACGGCCCCAUGUGUUCAUCUCCAGUAACACCCACAGGCAAACACAAGUAACUUGGGAUGCUGAGCAUUUUUCACAGAUCAGGAGACAUGGUUUUUCUAUGCCAGGUCAUGUGUUCCAUUAGAAAAGGAUGAAAUCAUCCAGACCCUGACGUCUUUUCGGUGACAUUUGCAUUAAAAACUCCCCAUUAUAGCUGAGCUCCAGCCCCUCUGUGACCUGUGCUAUGCAUCAACCAGGUCGGCCUGUCACAGACAGGGCAGCCACGUGACUCUGGCAGCCUGCUGCUGCCCUUGUUUCCUCGACAUUGAGAGAAAUUACGUACACAAAGCUUUGUUUUGAAUUAUAAAUCUUUUUUGUUGGAGCCUGCUGGGACUAAACCAUCGAUACACUUAUAUUUAUUGGGUGUCCGGCUAAUAUUUAUCAAUUGCCUUAAUUCAAAUCCCACCUCUACAAAUCAUGAGCUUUCUGACAUUGAGCAGUUUACUUAGUGUCUCUACACCUUAAUUGCUUCAUCUAUCAAGGGAGAAUCAUAAUAAUACCUACCCUUAAGGUUGCUAAGAGGAUUGUUCCAGGUUUGCUUCCUUGGAAAGGAGACUGAGAGAUAGGAGUCAGGUGGCAGGAUUUGAUCAGGGGAAGCAGGAAGUAGGAUUGGGCAGAGAAGUUGGGUGGUGGGUGGAGCAGCCUCAGGGAAAGCAGCAGCCAACCCCAGAGGGCGCUCUGGAGCUGGGCUAGCAGGUAAGCCCUAUCCUGAGUUAGACCAAUAACUAGAGCAGUUGCUGGCUGCAGAGCACACUGGAAGGAGGUAUGACCUUGGGCAACGCAGCUUCCUUCAGCUAAGUCAACUGGAAAGGACACUGAGAUUAGUCUUCCUGCAGCAUUCCUGGCAGCUGGAGGAAUAAAUUCUUCAGGAUCACAAGCCUCCACCACAAAGAUGGAAGGAGAUAAUUCACAUGCAGCCUUCAACACAGUACCUGGCCUGGAGUUGAUGCUUAAUAAGUGGUAGCCAUUCCAAUUACUGUUGUUUUCAUAACCUCCUGUCCAGCAUUGUUCUAGAUGCUGAAGACACAGUGGCAAUCAGGAUUCUGCUCCUCCCCUUGAGAAACUCAAUCCACAAAUAAAUCAGAUCGUCAAGCAAGCAAUUGAAUGCAGGUCAUGUGAUGGAGGGACAGGUGACUCAGGCUAGGACGGUGAAGGAGAGUGAAGCCAAAGUUGAUCCCUAAAGAUGAAGAGGUGUGAGCUAGGCCCAGGGAGUGGGAGAUGCUGAGGUGGGAAAGAAAGUGGAGGAGCAACAUGCACAGACAAGAGAAGGUGCAGCGUGCCUGUGAUGUGGUUCAACUCGGCCAGCACAAAGUAUGUGUGCACCCUUGAGAGAGGGGGAGGGGUCUGGGGCACACCAGGCCAAGGUGUGUGCACUUGGAUAUAGAAGGGGAAAUAAGAGCCAUUAAAGCUUUGUAACCAGAGAAAAGUUACUAGGAAAAGGUGCUUGGAAAAGGUGGUCUGGCUGCCUCGUGGGUAAUGAACUGGACAUGGACAAGAUUAGAGGCAAUUGCCAGGUUCCACAGGAAAGAUAAGGGUGGGAAUCACUCAGUUUUCCUGCAUCUCUUAUAUUAUUAAACUUCUGUUUGUUUUUCUCUUGCUAAUCUGACUUUUAUGACUGAGGGGCUUAGUCGAGAACCUAAGAGGGCAGAAGGAGCAUUAGUCUUCCUAUAAUACACUCAGAAUUUGUACACUUGAAAUGGGUGAAUUAUCUAGUAUGUGAAUUAUAUCUCAAAGGAGCUAAAAAUGAUUUAAAAAU